GCCUUGCGCGUUGGGUAGGUUUCUUGGAUAUCAAAUUCAAUAUCUUAAGCAAGAAUCCACUCCGCGUCCAUAAUAACGGGUACACUGUUAUUCUCAAAAAUGCUGCUGUCUGGCAAACUUUAGAACAAAUUGAAGUACUUGUUUCCUGCCCACUUUCUCCCAGUCUUCAGCUUACUUUUAAAGGACUUGAAGAAAAAAAGAUGUUUUCAGUUUUUAUAA